CUAUCAUGCAGUCGAGGGGCAGCACAGGUAGCAAUACUGGGUGGCGACCGGCAAACGGGUGCGGAACACGUACGUAACCUUCCUUUAAGUGGGAGAUAGCCCGAAGAAAUUCGGAUUAAUACCCCAUAAGAUUGUGGAGUGGCAUCACUCAGCAAUUAAAGAAAUUCGCUUAAAGAUGGGCGUGCGGCUGAUUAGGUAGUUGGUGAGGUAACGGCUCACCAAGCCAACGAUCAGUAACUGGCGUGAGAGCGCGACCAGUCACACGGGCACUGAGACACGGGCCCGACUCCUACGGGAGGCAGCAGUAAGGAAUAUUGGUCAAUGGACGCAAGUCUGAACCAGCCAUGCCGCGUGAAGGAUGAAGGUCCUCUGGAUUGUAAACUUCUUUUAUAUGGGAAGAAACCACUUUUUUCUAAAGGUGUUGACGGUACCAUAGGAAUAAGCACCGGCUAACUCCGUGCCAGCAGCCGCGGUAAUACGGAGGGUGCAAGCGUUAUCCGGAUUCACUGGGUUUAAAGGGUGCGUAGGCGGAUUAGUAAGUCCGUGGUGAAAUCUCCGAGCUUAACUCGGAAACUGCCGUGGAUACUAUUAAUCUUGAAUACUGUGGAGGUUAGCGGAAUAUGUCAUGUAGCGGUGAAAUGCAUAGAUAUGACAUAGAACACCAAUUGCGAAGGCAGCUGGCUACACAGAGAUUGACGCUGAGGCACGAAAGCGUGGGGAUCAAACAGGAUUAGAUACCCUGGUAGUCCACGCCCUAAACGAUGAUUACUCGACAUUUGCGAUAUACAGUAAGUGUCUGAGCGAAAGCAUUAAGUAAUCCACCUGGGAAGUACGACCGCAAGGUUGAAAC
rnacentral:rRNA from 1 species